UUUCAAACACGUUUAUUAUAAGUAGAUUUCAUUUACAACUAUUAGAAUUUUGUUUUUACAUUCGUAGCUUACUUAUAAUCGCACUAUAAUUCAACUCUAUUAGUGAUAUACGAUUUGCGUCGACUAAAGGACAUAUUGUCUAUCCCUUUGACUGUUCUUAUCAUAUUGUAUUUAAAUACAAGUUUAAGUUGCGAAUCAUUCUACAGAAAGUUCUAGAUUUGUAUCGUUCUUGGUAUUAAAGAUACUACUUUUCUACAGGAUAGUAUAAAGUUCCCUUGGGCAGGGAAGUAUUGCAAACUUCAUUGGAAAAGAAUGCAAUUUAAAGACAAACACAAAUAACGUUACAUACAAAGAAGAAUUGAAAUGGAUGAGAUGCAUACAUGCAUGCAACUUUCUCAAUACAGCAUUUACAAACAUAGAAAACCUAUGAACCAAUACAGACUUCACAUUAAUUUAAACAUGAUGACUAAUGUCACAACCAGAGGCCACGGAAACAUUUCGAAAGUGGAGGGCAUUGGGCAAAUAGCUCACUCUUACUAUGACGAAAAUCAAACCAUUUUAAUGUCGUUCACGAGCCGAACGAAAAUUUUUGAAAAUAUGGACUCUGUUAUUGUGUCAGAAAUGGUCUUUACGAAGUCUUUA